GCAAGGAAUUUUGCGCAAUGGGCGAAAGCCUGACGCAGCAACGCCGCGUGGGUGAAGAAGGCCUUCGGGUCGUAAAACCCUUUUGUCGGGGAAGAAGCUCUGACGGUACCCGGCGAAUAAGCCUCGGCUAACUACGUGCCAGCAGCCGCGGUAAUACGUAGGAGGCGAGCGUUAUCCGGAUUUAUUGGGCGUAAAGAGCGCGUAGGCGGUCUAUUAAGUCAGUUGUGAAAUCUCCCGGCUUAACUGGGAGCGGUCAGUUGAUACUGGUAGACUUGAGGGCAGCAGAGGGAGGUGGAAUUCCCGGUGUAGCGGUGAUAUGCGUAGAGAUCGGGAGGAACACCAGUGGCGAAGGCGACCUCCUGGGCUGUUCCUGACGCUGAGGCGCGAAAGCGUGGGUAGCAAACAGGAUUAGAUACCCCGGUAGUCC
rnacentral:rRNA from 1 species